GUGAGUCAUCGAGUCUUUGAACGCACAUUGCGCCCGCUAGUAUUCUGGCGGGCAUGCCUGUCCGAGCGUCAUUUCAACCCUCAAGCCCUGGCUGCUUGGUGUUGGGGAGCUCUCUACGGCGCACUCCAGCGCUGCAGCCCCCGAAAUUUAGUGGCGGACCCGUCGCGGCCCCGAGCGCAGUAGCAGUCUUCUCGCUCCAGGGUGUCCGGCGGGCGUUCUCGCCGUAAAACCCCCGCUAACUAACGCAAGGUUGACCUCGGAUCAGGUAGGAUUACCCGCUGAACUUAAGCAUAUCAAUAAGCGGAGG
rnacentral:rRNA from 1 species